rnacentral:tRNA from 1 species
GGAAGCGUGGCCGAGAGGUUGAAGGCACCGCUCUCGAAAAGCGGCAUACCGGUAACGGUAUCGGAGGUUCGAAUCCUCCCGCUUCCG